rnacentral:rRNA from 1 species
GACGAACGCUGGCGGCGUGCUUAACACAUGCAAGUCGAACGAGAGCGUAGAGAAAGCUUGCUUUUUCUACAAUCUAGUGGCAAACGGGUGAGUAACGCGUAAACAACCUGCCCUACGGAUGGGGACAACAGCUGGAAACGGCUGCUAAUACCGAAUACGUUCCGAAAGUCGCAUGACUAUCGGAAGAAAGGAUGGCCUCUAUUUAUAAGCUAUCGCCGGAGGAGGGGUUUGCGUCUGAUUAGCUAGUUGGAGGGGUAACGGCCCACCAAGGCGACGAUCAGUAGCCGGUCUGAGAGGAUGAACGGCCACAUUGGAACUGAGACACGGUCCAGACUCCUACGGGAGGCAGCAGUGGGGAAUCUUCCGCAGUGGGCGAAAGCCUGACGGAGCAACGCCGCGUGAGUGAAGACGGCCUUCGGGUUGUAAAGCUCUGUUAUACGGGACGAAUAAUCUUGUGGUUAAUACCCAUGAGAAGUGACGGUACCGUAAGAGAAAGCCACGGCUAACUACGUG